rnacentral:lncRNA from 1 species
UUCAAAGUUUAUUAAAGAAAACUCAGCCGCAGAAGACUGCGUAACAGGAGCAUAUUAUACACAAUAUAAAUCACAACAUAUUUCAUAAUACAUUCAGUAUACAUUUUUAUAUUAUACAUCUUCAGAAAUAAAUCUUUGUUUAUUGCAAUUUUAAAUCAGACAAGCAUCUUUUCUACCUUUUGAAUAAAAAUUGACAGCUUAGACAGCAC